rnacentral:piRNA from 1 species
UGAAUCUGGAAUGGUCUUUCUGGAAUGGU